AUUGAACGCUGGCGGCAGGCCUAACACAUGCAAGUCGAACGAGUGGCGGACGGGUGAGUAAUGUCUGGGAAACUGCCUGAUGGAGGGGGAUAACUACUGGAAACGGUAGCUAAUACCGCAUACCAUCAGAUGUGCCCAGAUGGGAUUAGCUUGUUGGUGGGGUAACGGCUCACCAAGGAGACGAUCCCUAGCUGGUCUGAGAGGAGGACCAGCCAGAUGGGAACUGAGCCACGGUCCAGACUCCUACGGGAGGCAGAAGUGGGGAAUAUUGCACAAUGGGCGAAAGCCUGAUGCAGCCAUGCGGCGUGUAUGAAGAAGGCUUUCGGGUGGUAAAGUACUUUCAUCGGGGAGGCGUUACCCGCAGAAGAAGCACCGGCUAACUCCGUGUCAGCAGCCGCGGUAAUUC
rnacentral:rRNA from 1 species